rnacentral:rRNA from 1 species
UGCGCAAGGGCACCAAGCCAUUCGGUGGAUGGCUCGGCUCGGGCGCCUAGGAAGGGCGCGGCAAGCGGCGAUAUGCCCGGGGUAGGCGCAAGCAGCCUCUGAUCCCGGGAUUCCCGAAUGGGACUUCCUGCCCGUUAGGGCGUUCCCGCCUAAAAAGUGGGAACGGGAACUCUCCGAACGGAAGCAUCUUAGUAGGAGAAGGAAGAGAAAUCAAAAGAGAUUCCCUGAGUAGGGGCGACCGAAAGGGGAAUAGCCCAAACCAAAUCUGCCGGUGAUAAGCCGGUGGAGAUGUGGUGUUAUGCUUCUUGCUGCGGGUUCGACUCGCGACCUUCCUAGCUCAUCUAGCCGAACUCCUCUGGAAUGAGGGACCAUAGAGGGUGAUAGUCCCGUAGGUUAAAGAUGAGUGGAAGGUGGCAAGAAGCAGAGUACCAUCCCCUGAUUUGGGGGUGGGAAGUUAGGGGACACGUGCCUCUAAGGCUAAAUACGUCCCGAGACCGAUAGCGAACUAAGUACUGUGAAGGAAAGCUGAAAAGAACCCCGGAAGGGGAGUGAAAAGAGCCUGAAACCGAAUGGUUACACAGGGCAGAGCUC